rnacentral:rRNA from 1 species
AUAAUCUCCGAUAGAUGGAGACUCCUGGAAUGGAUUUCUGUCUAAACGACACUUUAAUCACGCUUUUAGGUGCCGCUCAAGGAUGGGGCCGCGGCCGAUCAGGUUGUUGGUGAGGUAACGGCUCACCAAGCCUUUAACCGGUACGGGCCGUGGGAGCGGUAGCCCGGAGAUGGGAACUGAGACAAGGUCCCAGCCCUACGGGGCGCAGCAGUCGCGAAAACUUCGCAAUACACGAAAGUGUGACGAGGCCAUCCCGAGUGCCGUCCGCUGAGGAUGGCUUUUCCCUAGUGUAGAUGCUGGGGGAAUAAGGAGAGGGCGAGUCUGGUGUCAGCCGCCGCGGUAAUACCAGCUCUUCGAGUGGCGGGGAUGAUUAUUGGGCCUGAAGCAUCCGUAGCUGGCCAAAGCAAGUUCCCUGUUAAAACCAGCGAUCUAAUCGUUGGAUUGCGGGGAAUACUGUUUGGCUUGGGGGCGAGAGAGGCCGACGGUAUUUUCGGGGUAGGGUGAAAUCCUAUAAUCCCGAAAGGACCACCAGUGGCGAAGGCUGUCGGCUAGAACGCGCCCGACGGUGAGGGAUGAAAGCUGGGGGAGCGAACCGGAUUAGAUACCCGGGUAGUCCUAGCCGUAAACGAUGCAGGCUAGGUGUUAGGGCGGCCACGUGCCGCUCUAGUGCCGCAGGGAAGCUGAUAAGCCUGCCGCCUGGGGAGUACGGCCGCAAGGCUGAAACUUAAAGGAAUUGGCGGGGGAGCACCACAAGGGGUGAAGCUUGCGGUUUAAUUGGAGUCAACGCCGGAAAUCUCACCGGGGGCGACAGCAGUGUGAAGGCCAGAUUAAAGGUCUUGCCAGACGAGCUGAGAGGAGGUGCAUGGCCGUCGCCAGUUCGUGCCGUGAGGUGUCCUGUUAAGUCAGGCAACGAUCGAGACCCGCAUCUCCAGUUGCUACCAGCCUUGUGCUGGGCACACUGGGGAGACCGCCGCCGAUAAGGCGGAGGAAGGAGCGGGCCACGGCAGGUCAGUAUGCCCCGAAUCUCCCGGGCCACACGCGAGUGCAAUGGCAGGUACAAUUGGAUUUGGAUUCCGAUAGGGGAAGGCAAUCUUAAAGCCUGCCGUAGUUGGGAUUCGAGGGUUGAAACUCACCCUCGUGAACAUGGAAUCCUAGUAAUCGCGC